AUUGAACGCUGGCGGCAGGCCUAACACAUGCAAGUCGAACGGUAGCACAGAGAGCUUGCUCUCGGGUGACGAGUGGCGGACGGGUGAGUAAUGUCUGGGAAACUGCCCGAUGGAGGGGGAUAACUACUGGAAACGGUAGCUAAUACCGCAUAACGUCGCAAGACCAAAGUGGGGGACCUUCGGGCCUCACACCAUCGGAUGUGCCCAGAUGGGAUUAGCUAGUAGGUGGGGUAAUGGCUCACCUAGGCGACGAUCCCUAGCUGGUCUGAGAGGAUGACCAGCCACGCUGGAACGGGGACACGGUCCAGACUCCUACGGGAGGCAGCAGUGGGGAAUAUUGCACAAUGGGCGCAAGCCUGAUUCAGCCAUGCCGCGUGUAUGAAGAAGGCCUUCGGGUUGUAAAGUACUUUCAGCGGGGAGGAAGGCGGUGAAGUUAAUAACUUCACCGAUUGACGUUACCCGCAGAAGAAGCACCGGCUAACUCCGUGCCAGCCGCCGCCGUAA
rnacentral:rRNA from 1 species